AUUGAACGCUGGCGGCAUGCCUUACACAUGCAAGUCGAACGGUAACAGGUCUUUCGGGAUGCUGACGAGUGGCAAACGGGUGAGUAAUACAUCGGAACGUGCCUAGUAGUGGGGGAUAACUACUCGAAAGAGUGGCUAAUACCGCAUGAGAUCUAUGGAUGAAAGCAGGGGACCUUCGGGCCUUAUGCUACUAGAGCGGCCGAUGGCAGAUUAGGUAGUUGGUGGGAUAAAAGCUUACCAAGCCUACGAUCUGUAGCUGGUCUGAGAGGACGAUCAGCCACACUGGGACUGAGACACGGCCCAGACUCCUACGGGAGGCAGCAGUGGGGAAUUUUGGACAAUGGGCGCAAGCCUGAUCCAGCAAUGCCGCGUGCAGGAUGAAGGCCUUCGGGUUGUAAACUGCUUUUGUACGGAACGAAAAGUCUUGGGUUAAUACCCUGGGAUCAUGACGGUACCGUAAGAAUAAGCACCGGCUAACUACGUGCCAGCCGCCGCCGUAA
rnacentral:rRNA from 1 species